AGAGUUUGAUCCUGGCUCAGAGCGAACGCUGGCGGCAGGCCUAAUACAUGCAAGUCGAACGGAUCCUUCGGGAUUAGUGGCGGACGGGUGAGUAACACGUGGGAACGUGCCCUUUGGUUCGGAACAACUCAGGGAAACUUGAGCUAAUACCGAAUGUGCCCUUCGGGGGAAAGAUUUAUCGCCAUUGGAGCGGCCCGCGUCUGAUUAGCUAGUUGGUGGGGUAAAGGCCCACCAAGGCGACGAUCAGUAGCUGGUCUGAGAGGAUGAUCAGCCACACUGGGACUGAGACACGGCCCAGACUCCUACGGGAGGCAGCAGUAGGGAAUCUUGCGCAAUGGGCGAAAGCCUGACGCAGCCAUGCCGCGUGAAUGAUGAAGGUCUUAGGAUUGUAAAAUUCUUUCAGCGGGGACGAUAAUGACGGUACCCGCAGAAGAAGCCCC
rnacentral:rRNA from 1 species